UCUUCCUCUUCCUCCUCCUCUUCCUCCUCCUCUGGCUCCUUCAGCAGCUCUUUGGCUUCUGUCCACUCCUGAGCGGUUGGAAGGAGAGCAUGGCCCA
rnacentral:miRNA from 1 species